rnacentral:rRNA from 1 species
CCUACGGGAGGCAGCAGUGGGGAAUCUUAGACAAUGGGCGCAAGCCUGGAUCUAGCCAUGCCGCGUGAGUDAUGAAGGCCUUAGGGUCGUAAAGCUCUUUCGCCUGUGAUGAUAAUGACAGUAGCAGGUAAAGAAACCCCGGCUAACUCCGUGCCAGCAGCCGCGGUAAUACGGAGGGGGUUAGCGUUGUUCGGAAUUACUGGGCGUAAAGCGCACGUAGGCGGAUUGGAAAGUUGGGGGUGAAAUCCCGGGGCUCAACCCCGGAACUGCCUCCAAAACUAUCAGUCUAGAGUUCGAGAGAGGUGAGUGGAAUUCCAAGUGUAGAGGUGAAAUUCGUAGAUAUUUGGAGGAACACCAGUGGCGAAGGCGGCUCACUGGCUCGAUACUGACGCUGAGGUGCGAAAGUGUGGGGAGCAAACAGGAUUAGAUACCCUGGUAGUCCACACCGUAAACGAUGAAUGCCAGUCGUCGGGCAGUAUACUGUUCGGUGACACACCUAACGGAUUAAGCAUUCCGCCUGGGGAGUACGGUCGCAAGAUUAAAACUCAAAGGAAUUGACGG